rnacentral:snoRNA from 1 species
UACCUCCAGAUUCCUUAGUCCUCAGAUCUAAAUAUUGCUCUGAGUCACCACAAAGGGAGGAAAAGCAAAAUUAAAGUGGACUUGGACUCUUUGGUGAUAUAUAAGUUCAUUUCAAACAAAG